UACGUAGGGGGCAAGCGUUGUCCGGAUUUAUUGGGCGUAAAGAGCGUGUAGGCGGCCAGGUAGGUCGGUUGUGAAAACUGGAGGCUCAACCUUCAGAGGUCGACCGAAACCAUCUGGCUAGAGUCCGGGAGAGGAGAGUGGAAUUCCUGGUGUAGCGGUGAAAUGCGCAGAUAUCAGGAAGAACACCCGUGGCGAAAGCGGCUCUCUGGAACGGUACUGACGCUGAGACGCGAAAGCGUGGGGAGCGAACAGG
rnacentral:rRNA from 1 species